rnacentral:misc_RNA from 1 species
GCGUUUUAGAGGGUUCUGUCGAUUUUAUUGCCUGUGGCGCCGCAUCGUAGGUAUCAGAGGUAUUAUUCAAAAUGGCUGCGAGUUUUGUUUAGAGUGACUUUUCACGCGCUUGACGAAGACUCUUUGCAGCUGUUGGUGUGUGCAAACUUCCGGAGAGAUAAUUGUCAUGAAAGUUCGCCCACCACUGGCUUUUUCGAGGCCUGCACAGCUCUGGUUUUGCUAUGUCAGAGCAGUAUAGCAGCGACGAAGAUGCCUGCAUCUGCAAUGGGGAAGUGGGCUCCCGCAGCAGCCACAAGCGCAAGGAAGUCCACAAUGAGGUGGAAAGGAGGCGGAAGGACAAGAUCAAUAUUGGCAUCUUGCGCCUCGGGGAGCUGCUGCCUGACAAGGAUCCCAGGAAACAGAGCAAGAAUGGGAUCCUUGAACGGGCAUCGGAGUACAUCACGUACUUGAAAGACUUGAAUGAGAAGCUGGUGAUGGACAAAGUUACCAACGUGGAAGCCACCGUGUUUGCUGGUUUACGCAAGCAGAUCAGGGAACUGGAGGAACUGAAUGCCAACUAUGCGAGACUGCUUACCACAGCAGGCAUUCCCCUGACGAGUGGGCCUGAAGAGAUUUGGGACCACAAGCCAAAAAAGUAUUCCUUGAAGCACCUUCCUGACAAGCAACGUGCCUUACUCGCCUGCACUGAGGUCAAGACUGUUCUUCAGCGGCAGCAGCAACAGCAGCAACCGUGCCAGCAUCACGGCACCCCAGCCGUGUCGUCACGGCCCGCUGCAGAACCUCUCGCUCCUAAAGCACCGCAGGCUGCAGUGGCAUCGACUGUACCACCGGCACCACCCCCUCCAGCAAGCAGUGCACGGGACGCGAUGCCUGGGUGCACACUGGUAACUCAGGCACUUCCAUCGGCACCCGUCAUGUCUACAGCCCAGCCAUCCGCGGUCACGGUGUUUCAGCAACAACACCCUCUAACCGCGGUCACACCCGCAGCUACCGGUGUGACCGCGGGAGCGACAGGCGGAGUCGUCUCGCAGCCCAUCCUUGUGAUCAAUGACCAGGGCGUCCCCGUGCUGCAAAACGUGGUGACCUUCCAGAACACUUCCAUCAUCCUCAAUCCUCAGGGGCAUGCCAUGGGAGCACGCGCGCCAGGAUCGGUGGUCUCCUUCGCGGGGCCCGACAUGCUACCCCAGGUGCACUUGGCAACGGGUCAGAGCACCGACGACUUUGCCCACUCGGCAGCAGCACUUGGUGGCCUGAUGCAAUGUGACCCCAAGCUGAAGGAGGCUGCCAAGCUCUGUGGCGUCCAGCAAAACGCGGCAACAUUCCUCUCGGGUGCAGGUAUGGUGAUGAACCAGCCCCUCCUCUCCCUUGGAACUGGAACCACAGUGAUUGCCGGACAGACAGCACCGGCACCGCAGGUCCCAUCAGCGUUCCUUCUUCCAUCUGGACAGAUCAUUCCUGUCGUCUCGCAACCGCAAGUGGUCAGUGCACCUAUGCAAUCGGCACACCCUCUUGGGAGUCAGGUGGCAGCUAAUGCUGCAGCAGCUGUGAGCAGUUGUAGCACUUCUCUCGCGAAGGUGGUGCAGUGUGACGGUACACAAAGCUACAUGUGCAGGGAGCACGCAUCUGUUCAGAAUAAAGCGCUGGCAUCUACACCUUCAUCCAGUGGAGCUGCGACGGGCACUGCUGCAGCACAGCCAAGUGGGAACUGCAGAAAGCAGCACCACUCCUGCCCACAGCAUUCAUCAACUUCCUUGUCAAAGUGUAUUGCCGUGCCAGACAGUUCAAGGACAAAGCCAGUGUGUUCCCACGCAGCAUCCAAACAACCUCUAUGCAUCAGGCCCAAGCCGACUUCACAGACGCCAGACUCUAGUCAGGUUAAGCCUUCGUGUGCACGUAAAGGUGGUGGUGGCAAGAAAGUGGCAGCAUCAAAGUCCUCUCCUGAGUUACCAGCCAAGAGGGCACGCACAGACGCACCACGGUCAGAUGAGGAGGCUGCUUCGCACACCUCCACCUGUUCAUCAACCACAGCAACCGCCUCAGCCCACAGCACAGAAGGAGUGAGUAGCACAAGCAACAAAGACAUUUCACCACUCGCUGCAGACAUUCUCGCCCAAGCGACAGAAUCUAUCUUUUCGUGUGGUGGCAAUGUGGAAGCAGCGGUCAACCAGGCAGCAAAGCCGAAGAACAAAAGUCCGGUGUCGGCAAGCUCGAGUGAUCAGGUCACAGCUCCUGCCGUUUCGAUCCCUGCCACCGUAGAGACUGACACGAGUACACAGGCAUCGACCACCAGCACAGCAUCUUCCCCUCCCAGUACUUCAGUCGCCCUUACCCAAAGUCAGUGUUUAAGGACGGCUGUGCUUGCAGAAGCAGUCUGUAGCAGCGAAACUGUUCCAGCCAACAGUACUGUUGAAGAGGCACCCAAGAUGAAAAACAUUUUUGAAAAUAGAAGGCUAACAGAAAUGGAUGCAGAGACGACAUCUACUACUAGCCAAGUGUCGGUGGAAAAUGCCGCACAGUCACUAUCUGCAAAAGAAGGGCAAGAUGACGUACAGGCAUCUGAUAGCGACCGUAAUGAACUGCCCAGUCUUAGUUUACACUCCAUAGUGAUGGAGGAAAACAUUGAUAUAUCUCCGAGCGUCAGUUCGACGACUUUCACUGAAAGUUAUGUCUCGGUCAGUGCCAGCAGUAAUGGCCACAGCACGCCCCAGGGCUCCUCUAAGAUCCCCGACUGUGCCGCUUCCAUACUCUGCCAACUCACUCCACCCAGCAGCAAAGGCAGUGAAGAUAAUAGCAAAGCCUUCGUUUCAAGUACCGACAGUCUAGCAUCGGAUCAGGAGUUGCCCCUAAUAUUGAGCAUACCUGAAGAUGACGGUCACGGUUCUCUCAACAGCAACUCGAAUCCGGGUCUUUCUUUCCCAUCACUGUCACCUGGGGAUCAGCUGGAGCAUGAAUUGGGAAACAGCACUGCCAAAACAGUGGAAAGCACGAGUAGCCUAUCUCAGUUUGUCCUCACUCCACCAACACCACACCUUCCAGCCAGUGCAGCACAAGUAUCGGUCAGCUCAAGCUCAACCAAGAAAAAAGAGUCAUUGGAGAGCAACACAUACACCUAUGUUGCGUCUGAGAGCUUCCCGACGCCCCCAAGUCAUUCAGAGGAGUUGCACACCAUUGGGAACACCGGCAGCACCAGCAGCAAGCAAGACUGCCACCAUGCCUCUCGAUCUCCACAACUUCAUAGCGCACCUCCCGCAAAGUUGCACACGGAGGCAUCGUGCCACAGUUUUGUUUCAAGCGCACCGCCUACACUCCCAAUGCACAGCCAAGGACUGCAGUUUUCAACAGCAUCAGCAGUAACUGCGCCUACUCAAGUGCACAACAUUUCGCUGCCUGGCUUUAGCACAGCUCAGGGCUUUGCCACUCCCAAGGAGCCAGAAUCUAUGCCUCUUCUGGACCAGACCAGCAAGCCGCCCCCUUCGCCAUGUCGUAUGGUCCGCGACUCUGGGCGUUGUGCAACACCAAGCAAGAGUCCAUCUGCGCAGUUUCCAAUGUCCAUAAAUCCCUACAUGACGACCACUCCUUUUCCGUUUCCACGACCUGAUCAGUACACACCUUGUACCAGGACACCAACUCUCCAAACCAACACACCGAAUAGCAGUAACACUGCAUUGUCAUGUUAUUCUGCCGAGGCCUUAAUUGGGACACAGAACUUCUUGCCAUCUUCUUACCGGCUCACGCCCCCCUCAUGUGCCCAGGUUCCCACAACUCAGAGGUCAUCCUGUCAGCAGUCAUCACGCCCUCAAAUUUCUUACUCUGCAGAGAGCCUUAUUCAGUCACAGGCUAGCAAUCCAAAGAAAGAUAUCCAAACAAAUGCCAAGGAACCUAGCUUUUCAAACCAUCCUGGAUUUGUGAACAGGCUUCCUUCUUACCAGCCCCAGACCAGCACACAGCACACUACAGGGCACUCGCAUCAGCGGCAGCUUCCAGCCAGCACGUCUCAACAGAUUCACUUGGCCAGCACAACUGUGUCGGGGGCAACAGACAACAGGUCGCAGGCAUUGCCUGUUUCAACAGCCGUGCCUCCUCAACCUACCACAGUGCACAGCAGCUACACAGCACAGUUUAGCAACAGCGCGCAGCGCAGCUUGGCAACAACUCCAAGCCGAUACCCAAUCCAUACUUACCACACAGCCAAGGAUGACUUCCCCAUGCUGCCCUCAGCACCACUGCACACUCCACCUCUGCACACAAUGGCGCCACACAUGUCGCAAUCUCCCUCAUCACGCAGCCACCACAUGCAGCCUGAGACAAGCUCUAACCAGAACAUGUUUCAGCACCAGAAUUAUCCGUACCCAAAUUUUUCUCUCGGUCAUCGGAGCCCCAGUUUCAGUACGUGUGCUACCUCCCGGCCUGAAGUUCCAGCAACAAGUCGAGUGCCGACCAGCUGCCUUCAGGCAACAUCCCCCCGACAAUCUCACUUUGGAAUGCAGGUGCCUACAUCACAGCAACAGGGUUGCCUGUUUCCAAGUGCCUCCUCAGCAUCUCUCCUGCCAUUGACGUCUGAGUUCGGCCCUCAGUGCUCUGGUCCGUUGGCCCCGCCUCCACCACCAGUCUUUGGCAAUCUGUCCCAACAUUGCGCGCAAGCACCGCAUCUGGUUAACAACCUGAUCCCCGGCCCGUUCGCCACAAAUGCAAACUCCAUAUGUGGUACUUCACUUCCUCCACCAAGCAUGGAGAGUGAAAAGCAAGGGGGCCGCAGGGACAAGCAGGGCAUGCACCUGAUGUCCGAGACGAGCUGUCCCGACACUGAAAAGCAGCAGCCUAAAUCAAAAUCCAAAAAGAGCAAGCCCUCAAAUACCUCAUCGCACAAUGCUGUGAGCAGCAUACCAUACUUUCCAGAUUUCAGAAACGAAUCUCACAACCACGCGUUGAUAACAUUACCCCCGCCUCCAGCACCUUCACAAAAGCUACCUCACGCACCUUCCCUUCCGUCGGUGUCCACAUCAACCUCGUCGGCACUGCCUUGGCCACAUCAUCAUCAACAGCAGCAGCACCAGCAGCUGCAGCAGGCUGCGCAACCACCGCACUCAAAGCCCAGUCAUACCGGCACUGAAAUCGAGCGGAGUGCAAACAUCAGCAGCGCUGCUUACAACCCGCUCUUCAGGCCUCAGUCCCAGCAGAACAGCAUCAACCUGAACCUCAACGGGUCUGGGGCACCAACGUCUCACUCCUCCUCUGUGACUUCCUUCUCGCACCACCACAGCCCCUUACAAAGGAACACGCAACACGGCAGUGCAUCGACGUCAUCAGUCGCAUCUGUAGUAUCUAUGACUGGCCCCAGCAUUUCGACGGCCACGCAAGUGGCCCCUUACUCAAACUGCGCAGUUGCACCGUCGCAGCAUGUUCCCAACUUCAAUUUGAGCAACAUCUUUCCCGACAUUGGCUCGGGCGAGCAAGGCAGGGCCAGUGCUGCACCGCCGCCGCCAUCCACACACUUUUAUCCAUCGAGCCGCGUGUUACACAAUUCGUUCAACCACAUUCUACCGCCUCCGCCUCCACCAGCACCAACUCAUAACAACUUUGUGCACUCGGGCCACCAUGCACCUUCCUUCUCCAACGUUAUUCCUCCACUCACCUUUCCUAUGCAUGAACAUUAGACCUUCCUUGGUCCCCAACAAAAAAGAAAGUUUGGGAAGGCAGCCACUCAACAGACUUUCCAGUCUGUUGCACAUUGGCAGCUGUGUUGAAACUGCGCAUACAUUGGUGCUCCUGUACUUACUACUUCAUAGCUUUCAUCUUUUCGGUGAAGUCUUUGUUGGUGUUCUUCUGUUAAGUGUUUUGCGUUAUAUUUAUUCCUCCUGUGUGUCUGUUCCAUAGUGUGCUCUUUGGGGCUUCUUUAGCCACUUGUUAAAAAGGAAACAAUGUCUGAUGUUUUCCUACUUGGUGUUCUAAUUUAAAGGCACAGCUCCUAGCCACAAAAGUUCAACCGACGAAACGUGUGUGUGUAUAUGUUCUACAAUGUGUGUGUGUGUGUGCAUGCAGUGCUGAUUCAAAACCUGUGUCCCCAAAGUAACAUUCUUGAUCGCAAAAAGCUACUUGCUCAUUGCUCAAUUGAUCCAAGUUGGUUCUGCUCACUGUGUUUUUGCAAGGAUAUGGGACAGUUAUGUUGGGCUUGAAGCGUUUGUGCAUAUUGUACAGUCUUUAUUGUGUUUCAGUUGUCGUAGAUUUGACUACAGAUCUGCAGAGAGCAGCUAUAACUGGGUCCUAGUGUGUUUUGAUUUAUAUAAUAUGGAACUGAGGUAUAAUUUCAGACAACUUUUGUCUGGCUGUGAAAGUAAAGACGUGAGGGUACAGCUCCUGAACCUGUAUUACUAAACCAUAUAGUUUUGGGCAAGUAAGGCACCAUCUUCAGCUUGUGUAAGCUUGUGUAGCUUGUCAGCUUAAACCAGUGGUUCUCAAAUGGGGGUCCUAUGAAGCCAUUUCAGGGGGUCUGCGAAAUCCAUACUCAAACAAAAAACAAAACAAAAAACGCCUUUUUUUUAAGGCACACUAUGUCCCGUGACCUUUAGACUUUUGGUAUGCUUCACCGCAUAAUGGUUUUGCAUUGCGGCGGAGCUAACUUAUGCUUUCCCUUCUCCAUGAGAUGGCUGUAAAGCUUUUGUUGCAAUUUUCUACGACAUAUGCUUUUUCCAGGCUUGCAUAUUUGAAAAGCAAGGAUAGCUAGAAAUGGGUGGAAUGUGGCUGCUGACUGCACAACUUAUUGGCAAGCUGUUGAGAUCGAAUUGGCAUGGCACUUUAGUUUGACCAUUAUUUACCAGGGAAAAACAAAGGACACCUGUUUCAUGCUGCAUGUUGUGUUAAUUUAUGACAGCUCCCCCCCCUCCUUUUUUUCCCCUUUCACUGCAAGGGGUCCCUCAUCACUUCCACUAGUCCACAAGGGGUCCCCGAAGCAUCCAUGGCUGAGAACCAGUGGCUUAAACAGUUGUGAUCAACUUGGCAUAAACAAUGUGCAGCCACCAUUAUCUGUUCUUGUGGCUGUUUGUCGGUGGUCGAAAAUUAGUGCAACAGGCUGAGUGGCAGCCAUCAUCACAGUACAAAAAUUGCUAUUUGAUGUGCCCAGCCUGUCUUAUCCAGUACAAAUCUGAACUUGGGUGCCUGAAAAGGUUUUUUGAAAUUAUGUAAGCGAUUAGGCUACACCUAGAGCUAAUCAUUUGUGCCGUAAUUUAAGUGAAGCACUUAGUAUCGAGGAAGUUACAGGCGAUGAAUGGUUACCCUCUUCCAGAGCCGUACUUUUGCCCCUCAACUUCUUCGCCAAGCGGUCAGGGCUAAGUUUUGCUUUUGCAAUCCACUGCAGGCACAUGGUAGAUUGCAGACACCACACUCCAUGUUUUUCUGGUUGAUCUCUGCUCCACCAGAUACCACCACUAACCAGGCCGCUUGCUCUCCCUGUACAGACUCUGAGAGGCCUGUCAGAUCAGUCAUGCUAGUGACGUCCCAGAGCAAUGCUGCAUCAUUUAAAACUUGGAUAUGUUGAAAAACCCUAUAAUAAAUUGCAUACUUUACUCACAGCACUUAAGCUGGUCCGUUGAUUAUCCAAAUGACCUCCACUACCAGCUCAAUAGGUUUGUAGGAAAUUGUCAAAACCAUUUCAGGUCCCUUUAGAAAAACAAGUAGAAAAUAUGUUUGGUGACGCUACACUUCUUUACACAUAAUGUACUUUAGUGUUAAAAAAAGUAAUCGUUUUUUUUAUUAGAAAAUACAAGUUUAAUUGCUCGUGAAUAAAUGUUUUGCUAACAAAAAUGCUUCGCUGUAGAACGCACCAUAUAGGUGACUAUUUUGUCUUUUAUUCAUAGAUGCCGUUAUCUUGGGCUUUUACGUGGAAUCAUUUCUCAGUUUCGGACAUCAUGACAUCAAAUUAACUAGUUCAUGAAACACCGAGUAGACUUGUGGAACAGUUUUUAUGAGUACGAUUAUACCGUAAAGCCAUUGAUUUAGUUGUAACACGUGCAAAGUGGCAUCGUUAACAGCCUGAGGUGGCAGUAGUUAUAAUAUGACCUUUAACAGAGGGGUGCAUGCUUCAAACAGAUCCACUCGUUUGCCUGCAGCUCAUGACACCCGCAAUAGCAAAAUUUCUGAAACUGUCACCAUUGUCUGAUGUGCUGAUUUUCAGCGUCUCCUAUACCAAGUUUAGUUGCUUCUAGUGUGCUGUGUCUACAGGUAAAUCAGGUUAAUAAACUCUUGCUUAUCACUCAGGGCAAAACAAGAAAUGCACAAAACCUCUAGUUCGUCAUGUCUCUGAGAUCUGUUAUGAAUUUCAGUGUUCUCAGGUUGACACAUCCAUCGUUUGCUUUCCUUUCACAGCUAGCAGAAGUUGUCGGCAAGCAUACCAUUCAAAGCUUGCUUUCUAUGAGUGUACAGGUAAGCAUAAAUGGACAGCUGGAUCCUAGGUUCAACGUCAUAAUUGUUACUGUUUUUUCUGUCUUGAUUUGUGAAGCGGGUAGCUCUUAUGAUGUGUAUGACAGAUGUUUUAGGCAGGCAAAUCUUGUGUGUGUGGCCCCUCGUGUACAUAUUUAUAAUCUCUCUGCGUGUUCUACCCAUCCGUCAGUUUCUGUUUUUUGCGCUCUUUUCUUUCUUAACGUAUGCGCCUGCUUUCUCAAUCACAUAAUUUUCACCUUUCCUACGGCAUAAUGUCCACUGCGGUGUGUCAUGGCAGUUGGCAGCAUUAUCUUUUGCUUUUAAAAAAAAUGUAACGUAGAAGGGCAUUGAAGUUUAACUGGUGUCCGUUAAAGAUUCUAGUGAAUCCGUUAAGGAAAAUUAUGUGAAACGAAAUUCACUGCAGUCAAACCUCAGUAUAACAAACCUACAUUUAGUAAAAUCCAUGAUAUAGAGUAACUUAUAUCAUUUUUUUAUAUCAUUUUAUAUCAUUUAUAUCUUAAUUUUUUUCAGCAGUGUGUAUACCUUUCUGUGUAACAAAAUAACCUUGUUUCAGAGUAGAUUUUAUGAACUCGGCGUGUAUCGUGUGCACGUACACAGAUUUGAGUCAAGCGUAAGGCAUCACACACCGGUGAAUUCAUCAUUUGCACACGUCCGUCUAGCACUACGCGAAGAGAAUAGAAUCAGUCAACUUUGACAACUGUCGUGCCGUAGCAGAAACAACACCGAACUUUGUCCCGUUUGUGUUUAGUCUUACGGAUACACUACAGAAUACGCCGGUUGUGAUUUGGAACGGCGAAAUUCGUCAUUCGGAAGUGUACCAACGAAUACCUCGGCAGUGACGGAAGAAAGGUGCAGUCUCGGUGUCAUCGCACCAUGUUUUCGUUAUCUUAAAUGACAUCCCAUUUAUCUCGUAUUUUGCAAUUUGCUACAGCCUUAUAAAAACAUCAGAUGGCAGCAACAUUGGCAGGCCAUAGUGAUGACAUGCCAUAACGUGUGGCUCAAUAAGACAGUGACUACUACAAGCAGGCAUAGGUGGAAUCUCAGACUAAUGAGCAGGCACUAGUGAUGUAGAACUAUUGAUGGUACUAUCGUUAGUUCAGUCACUAUUGAACUAUCAAUGGCAAAAAGAACUAUCAAUAGCGCUAUCAAUAAUAAGUUUGAUAGCACUACCGAUCUGAUAAAAUCAACCACACGAGCUCAUUGCAGCAUAAACUUGUUCCCCAAGUGUGUGGAACAGGAGGAGCAGGCUGAAAGGCAAGGAAGUCUACAUGCUUGCGCUCCUUUAUCAUAGUUCUUGGCUGAUGACAAUUAAAUUGAUUUAUUCAUGUUUACAGGAAACGAGAUUGUUACAUUUGAUGUUACUGUCCGGCUUCAAAUUUAUAUUGCAUUCUCUGAUUUCAAAAUGACAAGAACUAGGUUUGUUCAUUGUAAGGUGUAAGUGGUUAUUUUUUAAUUUGAAUUUAUUGAUGGGGCCAUAUUCCUGCGUUUUCACUGCUGAAAUCAUUUUUAUUUUGCCAAAAUAUUGCUCAUAAGUUAAGUAAACACAGUAUCACUGAUAGUGGGCUAUUGCAAAUUACUUUUGGCAAUAUCGCCGGCCAGCAACAGCAUAACUAUUCACAGCACUAUUGGUAGUAAUGUUGGCAGUAAUACUUCCGACAGUGCUAUCGAUAGUUUCUUUGCACUAUGGAUAGUUCAACAAAAAUUAUUGAUGCUAUCGAUAGUCAAUUAGCCGAUAGUAGUGCAUCACUAGCAGCAGCCCCCCCCCCCCCCAUAAUUAAUGGUCAACUUUCCUGCACUAUUCUGUUUGUAGAUUCUUACUGAUAACAUGCCAUCCACCAAAACUUUUCAGAAAAAUUGCCGAAACAUGCAUAUGUCAGCCGAGUAAAAUUCUCUAACAAACUUUUCUACAGCAACUACAAAUUUGUUACUUUUGGACCUGACUAUGUAACAUAGGAUCUUCUGUCAACUUAGCAUCAAGUGCACAUCAUAAAAGAACCGCAAGUGCUAAAAAUGUGCGUAUACGGUGUGUAAAUAUCCUAUGGUACAGAACCGGCAUGUGUAGUGUGGGAAAUGCUUAUUAAAUGCAUUUGAAGUGCAGUGCGUUUCAUCCUGCCAAGCUUGUCUGAAAGGUUCCAUGAACUUACAUAUUGUUGCAAUGCUUGUGUUGCCAAUAUCAAAAACUGAAAGUUAAUGCAGAUACUUUUCUUUUGCGUAGAAUGGCCAAGAAAACAUGGUGUUCAAAAUCCUACAGAGUUUCUUGAGUAUUUUGCACUUCUAAUAUAUAGGUGUGGUUAAGGUAGGUUUGCACAACUAAAGCAACCUAAUAUCUGCUAGAGCUAGUGGAAAAUUUGAGGAAGUGGCGAUACUGAAUUAACAAUGAGUAUUUAUCGAUGCAUGUGUUUUUUCAUUGCAGCUUGUCAGUGCGCAUGCAAAAGGCUUCACCUGAAUUUCUAACAGUGACUUCAUUAGUGUUCCAAUGCAUACAGUCGUGCUCACUCCAUUAAAUUUUUGUUACGAACUGGAAGCAGCAAGGCUGUCUAGGCAGCAUUUUAUCAAGAGAAUUUUCCAAGUUGGUUCAUUAUAGGAUAAGUUUGAAGAAGUUUGAACUGUCCUGUUAUGCCACUAAGAGCCACUGUACAGUUUGAUAAAGUUAGAAGUCGUAGAAAUUGGUGAUAUUUCUUUCCUCUGUGUUUGUUAAAUCAAUAGAGUCGCCAAAAGCAGCUGGCACAUCAAGUAUAGUGUCAACUCUAAGUCCUCUUUCAUUGGAAGUAUUGUUGUAGUGGUAACGCUGGCUUGGAAUGUCUCGCUUAAGCUACCAGUGUGUAGCAGUAUUGUGCUGCCUCCCCCCACAUAAACACAAGCAGCUGUUUUGGAUAUGAUGGUCGUUGAUGAAAGAAGGUGCUUGCCUUUGUGGUGAACACAAAGGGUUCUCCCUUCAAAACUUUUCACCAGACCUCAAAAAAUGUGUCGUUCACUUACUGUAUAGCCUCACAUUAAGGUUACAAGACGGUGCAAAAGCUAAUGCGUUUCAACUCCUGUUGCAUGUAAGAGCCUGUACAUCUAGUCAACACACCUCUCCAGCCGAUCGUACUCUAUGCGUCAUUUGCAUUGUAGAUACCCUUGUCCCGCCUCAUUUGCAGCGAUGUCUGGUGGCGAAACAAACCGUGUUCUCAUGUAUAAAGACCGACCCCCGAUCACCUCCUUGUCAUCACACGACUGUAAUCCCCCUUUACAUGCAAUUUUCCUCAUGUAAGCUUGUUACACAGGAUGGAUGUACGUAGUGGUACACGGAAUCAUGUUUUGCACAAAUAGUGUAGGUUAUUGCUGUUGAUACUUCAUUGGUGUGCACAACAGAGUCAGUGUACAAACCGGUCACUGUAUUUUAGCAGUUUAACUCACUCGGUGUGCUGUAUUGUUUUUUCAUGUAUUGCAGUCGCUUUGCACGACUUUGCAUGUAUAUAAGCUCAGUGUAAAGGUGUUUCUAUAAGCUUUGAGAGGGUGUUGGUGCUGUACAUAUGUUGGAACAACAUGCAUCGUGUGAUCUGUUUGUUGUAAAGAGGCUGUUAGUGUAUCAUAUGCUCAAUUUCUCGUGCAUGGUGAAGGAAGAAGCACUUUUGUAAAUUAUGUUAGGGCCCCAUGUUGUUUGCUUGGUACGCUUUGUUUGCGGACUGACGAUUUGACAAAUAAUGAGUGCUUUGCAAUAAACUUUUCUUUCAUUUUAUUCUGCCACUGUGUGUGAUAACGUUUGAGUAAGACCAGUUACUGCCCAUGUACUUACUUCAUUCAAAUGUACAGACACAUUCUACUCAUCAUAAAACAAAUGUAUGUGAAGUGAGGGCCUAUAUAUUUUACGAGCACUACAAAACAUCUUUGUAAUCUGGCCAAAAGAUACUCAAAAUAAAAAGCUCAUGUGGUCGUCUUUG